rnacentral:rRNA from 1 species
GACGGAGGGUGCAAGCGUUGUUCGGAAUUACUGGGCGUAAAGCGUGCGCAGGCGGUUGUGCAAGACAGAUGUGAAAUCCCCGGGCUCAACCUGGGAACUGCAUUUGUGACUGCACGGCUGGAGUGCGGCAGAGGGGGAUGGAAUUCCGCGUGUAGCAGUGAAAUGCGUAGAUAUGCGGAGGAACACCGAUGGCGAAGGCAAUCCCCUGGGCCUGCACUGACGCUCAUGCACGAAAGCGUGGGGAGCAAACAGG